rnacentral:rRNA from 1 species
ACGGCGGAACACGUGAAAUUCCGUCGGAAUCCGGGAGGACCAUCUCCCAAGGCUAAAUACUCCCUAGUGACCGAUAGUGAACCAGUACCGUGAGGGAAAGGUGAAAAGCACCCCGGAAGGGGAGUGAAACAGUUCCUGAAACCGUGUGCCUACAAGUAGUUAGAGCCCGUUAAUGGGUGAUAGCGUGCCUUUUGUAGAAUGAACCGGCGAGUUACGAUUUGUUGCAAGGUUAAGCGGAAAAAGCGGAGCCGUAGCGAAAGCGAGUCUGAAUAGGGCGCAUAAGUAACAGGUCGUAGACCCGAAACCAGGUGAUCUACCCAUGUCCAGGAUGAAGGUAAGGUAAUACUUACUGGAGGUCCGAACCCACGCACGUUGAAAAGUGCGGGGAUGAGGUGUGGGUAGCGGAGAAAUUCCAAUCGAACUUGGAGAUAGCUGGUUCUCUCCGAAAUAGCUUUAGGGCUAGCCUCGAGGUAAAGAGUCAUGGAGGUAGAGCACUGUUUGGACUAGGGGCCCUUCUCGGGUUACCGAAUUCAGAUAAACUCCGAAUGCCAUGUACUUAUACUCGGGAGUCAGACUGCGAGUGAUAAGAUCCGUAGUCGAAAGGGAAACAGCCCAGACCACCAGUUAAGGUCCCCAAAUAUAUGUUAAGUGGAAAAGGAUGUGGGGUUGCUUAGACAACCAGGAUGUUGGCUUAGAAGCAGCCACCAUUGAAAGAGUGCGUAAUAGCUCACUGGUCGAGUGACCCCGCGCCGAAAAUGUACCGGGGCUAAACAUAUUACCGAAACUGUGGAUGAACCUCUUCGGAGGUUCGUGGUAGGAGAGCGUUCUAAGGGCGGUGAAGUCAGACCGGAAGGACUGGUGGAGCGCUUAGAAGUGAGAAUGCCGGUAUGAGUAGCGAAAGAAGGGUGAGAAUCCCUUCCACCGAAUAUCUAAGGUUUCCUGAGGAAGGCUCGUCCGCUCAGGGUUAGUCGGGACCUAAGCCGAGGCCGAUAGGCGUAGGCGAUGGACAACAGGUAGAGAUUCCUGUACCAGUGCUAAUUGUUUAACCGAUGGGGUGACACAGAAGGAUAGGGAAUCGCACGAAUGGAAAUGUGCGUCCAAGCAGUGAGUGUGAGAAGUAGGCAAAUCCGCUUCUCGCGAAGCAUGAGCUGUGAUGGGGAAGGAAAUUAAGUACGGAAGUUCCUGAUUUCACGCUGUCAAGAAAAGCCUCUAGGAAGAGUAGUACUGCCCGUACCGCAAACCGACACAGGUAGAUGAGGAGAGAAUCCUAAGGUGAGCGAGAGAACUCUCGUUAAGGAACUCGGCAAAAUGACCCCGUAACUUCGGGAGAAGGGGUGCUCUAUUAGGGUGCAAGCCCGAGAGAGCCGCAGUGAAUAGGCCCAGGCGACUGUUUAGCAAAAACACAGGUCUCUGCAAAACCGUAAGGUGACGUAUAGGGGCUGACGCCUGCCCGGUGCUGGAAGGUUAAGAGGAGUGCUUAGCUUCGGCGAAGGUACGAAUUGAAGCCCCAGUAAACGGCGGCCGUAACUAUAACGGUCCUAAGGUAGCGAAAUUCCUUGUCGGGUAAGUUCCGACCCGCACGAAAGGCGCAACGAUCUGGGCACUGUCUCAACGAGAGACUCGGUGAAAUUAUAGUACCUGUGAAGAUGCAGGUUACCCGCGACAGGACGGAAAGACCCCGUGGAGCUUUACUGCAACCUGAUAUGGAAUGUUUGUACCGCUUGUACAGGAUAGGUAGGAGCCGAAGAGACGUGUGCGCUAGCAUACGAGGAGGCAAUGGUGGGAUACUACCCUGGCUGUAUGACCAUUCUAACCCGCCACGCUUAGCGCGUGGGGAGACAGUGUCAGGUGGGCAGUUUGACUGGGGCGGUCGCCUCCUAAAGAGUAACGGAGGCGCCCAAAGGUUCCCUCAGAAUGGAUGGAAAUCAUUCGCAGAGUGUAAAGGCACAAGGGAGCUUGACUGCGAGACUGACAAGUCGAGCAGGGACGAAAGUCGGGCUUAGUGAUCCGGUGGUUCCGCAUGGAAGGGCCAUCGCUCAACGGAUAAAAGCUACCCCGGGGAUAACAGGCUUAUCUCCCCCAAGAGUCCACAUCGACGGGGAGGUUUGGCACCUCGAUGUCGGCUCGUCGCAUCCUGGGGCUGUAGUCGGUCCCAAGGGUUGGGCUGUUCGCCCAUUAAAGCGGCACGCGAGCUGGGUUCAGAACGUCGUGAGACAGUUCGGUCCCUAUCCGUCGCGGGCGCAGGAAAUUUGAGAGGAGCUGUCCUUAGUACGAGAGGACCGGGAUGGACACACCGCUGGUGUACCAGUUGUUCCGCCAGGAGCAUCGCUGGGUAGCUAUGUGUGGCAGGGAUAAACGCUGAAAGCAUCUAAGCGUGAAGCCCCCCUCAAGAUGAGAUUUCCCAUUUCUUCGGAAAGUAAGAUCCCUGAAAGAUGAUCAGGUAGAUAGGUUUGGAGUGGAAGUGUAGCGAUACAUGGAGCGGACAAAUACUAAUCGAUCGAGGACUUAACCAAAA